rnacentral:rRNA from 1 species
AGCGAACGCUGGCGGCGUGCCUAACACAUGCAAGUCGAACGUGAAAGGGAGCAAUCCCAAGUAAAGUGGCGUACGGGUGAGUAACACGUAGGUAAUCUACCCCAGAAUCUGGAAUAACCGGCCGAAAGGCUGGCUAAUACUGGAUAGAGCGACGGAAUCCGUAAUUGGGUUUUUCGGGAAAGGGAGCCUGUAACAAGGCCUUCGUUCUGGGAUGAGCCUGCGUCCCAUCAGCUAGUUGGUGAGGUACAAGCUUACCAAGGCAAUGACGGGUAGCUGGCCUGAGAGGAGGAGCAGCCACACUGGAACUGAAGCACGGUCCAGACUCCUACGGGAGGCAGCAGUGGGGAAUCUUGCGCAAUGGACGGAAGGCUGACGCAGCAACGCCGCGUGAGGGAAGAAGGCCUUCGGGUUGUAAAGCUCUGUCGAGUGGGACGAAAAUGCUUGGAGUUCACAGCUCCAGGAACUGACGGUACCACGAAAGGAAGCACCGGCUAACUCCGUG